CAGUCGCCGCGGUAAUACGAAGGGAGCGAGCGUUGUUCGGAAUCACUGGGCUUAAAGCGUGCGUAGGCGGAUUUGUAAGUCAGAAGUGAAAGCCCAGGGCUCAACCCUGGAACUGCUUUUGAGACUGCAAGUCUUGAAUUCGGUAGAGGUUAGUGGAAUAUCCAGUGGAGAGGUGAAAUUCGUAGAUAUUGGACGGAACAUCAGUGGCGAAGGCGACUAACUGGACCGAGAUUGACGCUGAGGUACGAAAGCGUGGGUAGCAAACAGGAUUAGAUACCCGCGUAGUCCCUGUCUCUUAUAU
rnacentral:rRNA from 1 species